UACAGAGGGUGCAAGCGUUGUUCGGAAUUAUUGGGCGUAAAGCGCGUGUAGGCGGCUUUGCAAGUCGGGUGUGAAAGCCCUCGGCUCAACCGAGGAAGUGCGCCCGAAACUGCAGAGCUUGAGUACCGGAGAGGAUGGCGGAAUUCCCCAAGUAGAGGUGAAAUGCGUAGAUAUCUGGAGGAACACCGGUGGCGAAGGCGGCAUCCUGGACCAUUACUGACACUGAAAAGCGAAAGCCAGGGGAGCAAACGGG
rnacentral:rRNA from 1 species